rnacentral:rRNA from 1 species
UACGUAGGGUGCGAGCGUUAAUCGGAAUUACUGGGCGUAAAGCGUGCGCAGGCGGUUCGUUAAGUCAGAUGUGAAAGCCCCGGGCUCAACCUGGGAACUGCAUUUGAAACUGGCGGGCUUGAGUGUGGCAGAGGGGGGUGGAAUUCCGCGUGUAGCAGUGAAAUGCGUAGAUAUCGAGAGGAACACCUGCGGCGAAGGCGGGUAGCUGGGCCGACACUGACGCUGAUGCGCGAAAGCGUGGGGAGCAAACAGG